rnacentral:rRNA from 1 species
AGUGAACGCUGGCGGUAGGCCUAACACAUGCAAGUCGAACGGCAGCACAGGAGAGCUUGCUCUCUGGGUGGCGAGUGGCGGACGGGUGAGGAAUACAUCGGAAUCUACUUUUUCGUGGGGGAUAACGUAGGGAAACUUACGCUAAUACCGCAUACGACCUACGGGUGAAAGCAGGGGAUCUUCGGACCUUGCGCGAUUGAAUGAGCCGAUGUCGGAUUAGCUAGUUGGCGGGGUAAAGGCCCACCAAGGCGACGAUCCGUAGCUGGGCUGAGAGGAUGAGCAGCCACACUGGAACUGAGACACGGUCCAGACUCCUACGGGAGGCAGCAGUGGGGAAUAUUGGACAAUGGGCGCAAGCCUGAUCCAGCCAUACCGCGGGGGUGAAGAAGGCCUUCGGGUUGUAAAGCCCUUUUGUUGGGAAAGAAAUCCAGCUGGUUAAUACCCGGUUGGGAUGACGGUACCCAAAGAAUAAGCACCGGCUAACUUCGUGCCAGCAGCCGCCGUAAAAC